AUGACCCUCAGCGAGAUAACACACACCAUGACUCGGAACACACCGAGAGGAAAAACACUACACACAACCCUCACUGAAAUAACACACACCGUCACUCGGAACACACCGAGAGGAGAAACACCACACGCGACCCUCACCGAGAUAACACACACCGUUACUCGGAACACACCGCGGGGAGAAACACCACACACGACCCUCACUGAGAUAACACACACUGUCACUCGGAACACACUGAGAGGAGAAACACUACACACGACCCUCACCGAGAUAACACACACUGUCACUCGGAACACACAGAGAGGAAAAACACUACACACGACCCUCACUGAGAUAACACACACUGUCACUCGGAACACACUGAGAGGAGAAACACUACACACGACCCUCACCGAGAUAACACACACCGUCACUCGGAACACACUGAGAGGACAAACACCACACAUGACCCUCAGCGAGAUAACACACACCAUGACUCGGAACACACAGAGAGGAAAAACACUACACACGACCCUCACUGAGAUAACACACACUGUCACUCGAAACACACUGAGAGGAGAAACACCACACAUGACCCUCAGCGAGAUAACACACACCGUCACCCGGAACACACCGAGAGGAGAAACACUACACACAACCCUCACCGAGAUAACACACACCAUGACUCGGAACACACAGAGAGGAAAAACACUACACACAACCCUCACUGAGAUAACACACACCAUGACUCGGAACACACAGAGAGGAAAAACACUACACACAACCCUCACUGAGAUAACACACACUGUCACUCGGAACACACUGAGAGGAGAAACACCACACAUGACCCUCAGCGAGAUAACACACACCGUCACCCGGAACACACCGAGAGGAGAAACACUACACACGACCCUCACCGAGAUAACACACACAAUGACUCGGAACACACAGAGAGGAAAAACACUACACACAACCCUCACUGAGAUAACACAUACCGUCACUCAGAACACACCGAGAGGAGAAACACUACACACGACCCUCACCGAGAUAACACACACCGUCACUCGGAACACACUGAGAGGAAAAACACUACACACGACCCUCACUGAGAUAACACAUACCGUCACUCAGAACACACCGAGAGGAGAAACACUACACACAACCCUCGCCGAGAUAACACACACCAUGACUCGGAACACACAGAGAGGAAAAACACUACACACGACCCUCACUGAGAUAACACACACUGUCACUCGAAACACACUGAGAGGAGAAACACCACACAUGACCCUCAGCGAGAUAACACACACCAUGACUCGGAACACACAGAGAGGAAAAACACUACACACGACCCUCACUGAGAUAACACACACCGUCACUCGGAACACACUGAGAGGACAAACACCACACAUGACCCUCAGCGAGAUAACACACACCAUGACUCGGAACACACAGAGAGGAAAAACACUACACACGACCCUCACUGAGAUAACACACACUGUCACUCGAAACACACUGAGAGGAGAAACACCACACAUGACCCUCAGCGAGAUAACACACACCGUCACCCGGAACACACCGAGAGGAGAAACACUACACACGACCCUCACCGAGAUAACACACACAAUGACUCGGAACACACAGAGAGGAAAAACACUACACACAACCCUCACUGAGAUAACACACACUGUCAAACACCAAUACAGAAAAUACUAA
rnacentral:lncRNA from 1 species